rnacentral:rRNA from 1 species
AUUGAACGCUGGCGGAAUGCUUUACACAUGCAAGUCGAGCGGCAGCGCGGUCUUCGGACUGGCGGCGAGCGGCGAACGGGUGAGUAAUACAUCGGAACAUGCCCAGUCGUGGGGGAUAACACUUCGAAAGAAGUGCUAAUACCGCAUACGUCCUGAGGGAGAAAGCGGGGGAUCGCAAGACCUCGCGCGAUUGGAGUGGCCGAUGUCAGAUUAGCUAGUUGGUGGGGUAAAGGCCUACCAAGGCAACGAUCUGUAGCUGGUCUGAGAGGAUGAUCAGCCACACUGGGACUGAGACACGGCCCAGACUCCUACGGGAGGCAGCAGUGGGGAAUUUUGGACAAUGGGGGCAACCCUGAUCCAGCCAUUCCGCGUGAGUGAAGAAGGCCUUCGGGUUGUAAAGCUCCUUCGGCAGGAACGAAACGGCGAGCUCUAACAUAGCUCGCUAAUGACGGUACCUGAAGAAGAAGCACCGGCUAACUACGUGCCAGCAGCCGCGGUAAUGCGUAGGGUGCGAGCGUUAAUCGGAGUUACUGGGCGUAAAGCGUGCGCAGGCGGUUGUGUAAGACAGAUGUGAAAUCCCCGGGCUCGACCUGGGAACUGCAUUUGUGACUGCAUAGCUAGAGUACGGCAGAGGGGGAUGGAAUUCCGCGUGUAGCAGUGAAAUGCGUAGAUAUGCGGAGGAACACCGAUGGCGAAGGCAAUCCCCUGGGCCUGUACUGACGCUCAUGCACGAAAGCGUGGGGAGCAAA